UCAACCGGGCUAAGCGUACGUCUUGCAACCCAAUGGUCGUGGGAUCGAUCCCCGGA
rnacentral:tRNA from 1 species